rnacentral:rRNA from 1 species
AGUGAACGCUGGCGGUAGGCCUAACACAUGCAAGUCGAACGGCAGCACAGUAAGAGCUUGCUCUUACGGGUGGCGAGUGGCGGACGGGUGAGGAAUACAUCGGAAUCUACUUUUUCGUGGGGGCUAACGUAGGGAAACUUACGCUAAUACCGCAUACGACCUACGGGUGAAAGCAGGGGAUCUUCGGACCUUGCGCGAUUGAAUGAGCCGAUGUCGGAUUAGCUAGUUGGCGGGGUAAAGGCCCACCAAGGCGACGAUCCGUAGCUGGUCUGAGAGGAUGAUCAGCCACACUGGAACUGAGACACGGUCCAGACUCCUACGGGAGGCAGCAGUGGGGAAUAUUGGACAAUGGGCGAAAGCCUGAUCCAGCCAUACCGCGUGGGUGAAGAAGGACUUCGGGUUGUAAAGCCCUUUUGUUGGGAAAGAAAAGCAGCAGGUUAAUACCCCGCUGUUCUGACGGUACCCAAAGAAUAAGCACCGGCUAACUUCGUG